ACUGCAGCACUCACCGAAGUGUGCUUCCUGCAGAGCCAAAUGAGGGCAAGGACAUUGUCAGAGCAGCAGGCAGAAAAGCAUGGCAACCCUUCCUGGAAGGAUUCUGGCUGGUGUGGGGCUGACUGAAGAAGAAGAGGAGUCACCUGAACUGGGAGUGGCCAGAAGGCUCCUGGCCCCUUUACAAAUACAGGAGAGCUGGGAGAGCUGACAGAGACUGAGUGUGUCUGAUCACUUCUAUUACCAGAAACACGACCUGUCGUUUUUUGCUGGGAUUACAAAGGGGAAGUUUGGAAAAGUUCAGGUGACAGGGAAAAUUUGAGUUAUGCCCAUGUGGGUGCGACUGAAAUCAGAGGGUUUUGCAUCCUACAAGGCCUGAAGUGAUCAGCAAUUUCUUUGUCAGAAAAUCUGCUGCUUCCAUUAACAGUUGUGGUUACAGUGUAACUCCAGCUACCAGACUGUUGUGUUUGAAAUGAAUUGUCAUUGCUGCAUUUCUGAAAACAGCUCUUGAGACUGAUGGGAGUGGUGCAAGCUUGCAGGAUCACGUGGGUACACAGUCAGCAUGUGCCAGCAGGUGAUGUAAAGAUGAAUGACUCCUUGAAUUUCAUGUGACAAGGAAUGUAAAUCAGUGUUUGGCAUUUGAUCUGGAGAAGAAACGGAGAUGAUUUCAUUUAAAGCAGAAAUAAAAGACACUUUUCCUUUCAAACUGAUUAAUUAAACAAAGAAAAGGCAAAGCUGUGCAUGGACAUCAAGCACAAAAAAAGAAGGUGGUAUUCUCUGUUGCCUUCCUCCCUUCUCCAAAGGUAAAAAUUAAUCUAAUUUCUUGAUCCAUGAGAGCUGGUCCUCGUUGCCAUUAUGUGAUGUCUGCUAUACAAGGAAUCUGCAGCGCUGCAAGGGAAGUUAUGGCCCAAUGCACUAGUGCCCCACACUUCUAUACCAACAUUUAUCUAUUUUAUGUUUUUAUAGUUUUCCAGUUCCCAGACAGACUGAAGUACACUUGAAUCAAAUAUCCAGCUAAACUUUCCUGAUAUGUAAGAUAUUUAAAGGGUAGAUACCAUAUGUCUUACAGUUAACGUCUGCUUGCAGAUGUAGGUUAUAUGUUUGUGCAUGGAAAAACAGGGCUUUCCACUCAACUAAUAGAUUUCUUAAUAAGACUACUGAUGGCAUAAUCUAUCUUUAAUAGUCCAAUGGCUAUGAAUUCUUCUUAGGCCUAAUCCUGAAUUUAUAGGAUUUUUAUAAGUGAAUGUCAGAACAGGAAGAAAUGUUCUGUAGAUUCAGGGAAGCAGUACAGCCACUCACUGUGGCUGCUACUGUGUUAGGCUGUCUGCAGUUACAGCCAGGUCCCUGUAGAAGAGGGUCUCUAUUUCUAUUUGAUUAUUAAAAACAGUGGUCCAGAUGCAACAUCUGGCUCAGGAAAUCCUUAAACUCCUGAUUGUCGAAAAUGCAGAGGAUAUUAAGAGAGGGAGGGGGAUGUGUGGAGAGGGAAUCACUUUGCAUGCACCCUCUUCUUAUAUUCUUUUCCUAAGCAUCUGCCUUUGUCUGCUGUCAAAGGCAGGAUAUUGGGCUGGAUGGACCUUUCAUCUACCCCGGGAUGGCAGUGUUCUGUGUCUGGGAGGUGGAGUGGGCUGUGAAACCCCAUUAUCCAGGAUCUGAUGAUCCCAAAUGUGACUUUUCCCUCCUGACUAAACCUUUAUGGCUGUAGUGCUUCAUCUGCUUUCCCCAAAUCCUGCUCACAGCAUAGAGUGCAGCAUAGGGGGAGGGAAAGAGGUGGCCCCCUCCUUAAGGGCUGUGUAUUUUUAUGUAUUUAUUUUGGCUUGGAUGGAGAUUUUUUUUUUUCUUUUCCCCUCUGAAUAGGGAAUUCAGAAAAGUGACAUCAUUUUUAAUCCCUGACAGUUUAUGGGCUUUGAAAAAGAUUCUGGAUAAUACUGAGCAAUUAAGAUGCCAUUUUAAUAGUUCUUUCAAGUGAAAUCAAGUGAGUAAUUAAAUAAAAUUGAAUGAGGACCAUGUCAGGCCACCCACAAGCUCUCAUAUCCGCUACAAGCAGAUGAAUAAGUUAGAGUGUGGGAUAAAUGCUGUGUCUAAGUGGUCCUAUUUAUGUGUUAUUGGAUGACUCUAGGAAUGAAGCUUUCAGCUGGAAGAUUUGUUUCCUUUGAACAAUGUUUUCAAGCAAGAACAUGCAAGAUUGUCAAUUGCUAUUCAAACAGCAGUAACUUUCCCAUCUUUUUAAAUUUUUUGUGGUAGUGCUAAUGCCAUUGUUUUGUAUAGAUGGUCUGCUGUAAAAGUCACAGAACAUAAACAGGAUUUUUUUGCAUUAAAUGCUGGAUUAGAAUUUCUGCUUCCUAGUUAUUAUGAUAUAUUCCUAGUAUGAUGAUAUAUGAAUGCAUUUUGAAAGUUGCUUUAGUCUGCAAGCGUGGGGUAUGGCAUUACACGUGGUUUGUAUUCAUUCUACACAGAUAAAAAAAGCAAAGUGCAGACAAAGGGAAAACAAGUAAUUUUGAGAUAUACAGUCCAAUAACUAAGUAGGUAAUGGAAAAUGGUAUCUCUCAGUUGUAGAUCAGUUAAUUUUCUUAGGGUGAAAAAAACUUUUUAGGCAUUUCCAAUGUUAAAUUUUGUGCAAGGAUUUCUCACUAUAAUUAGAAGUAUAUAUAAUUAGAUUAUUUCCAAAGUCUGUUCUUUGUACUUUAAGUGGGAUUCCUAACCCUGUCUUAGAUCUAUGCAAAAUAUUGAUAAAAUAUUGAUGUUUUAAAAAUGUCCCAUUUGAAGUUAAGACAGAGAUAUUAAUACCAUGACACAGGAUAAGAGCCUUGAAAACUUGCCUUGCAUCUACAGCAUUAUUUUUACUGAAAUGCACACGGGGGAGGCAGCGGUUAAAAGCAAGAGCCAAAAUAAUCUCCUUGUAUUUCACAUUUAGAUUCACAGAAAAAUUGAUAUUAUUCCUCAAGAAUUUCCUCUGUAGGAUACCAUCUGAGCACAGCUGAUGGAGUGGGUACCAGACACGCUCCCGGUUCACCCCACACAAACUUGUUUUCCCCUUCAUCUCAGGGAAUGAAUGGAUCACUGCUCCAUCCCUGUGGCUGCUACCCUGGCGCAAAUACAUGCCUGCUGUUUUCUUUCUCUCCUAAAACAUGCUUUUCUGGUUUUACUUUAAAUUUGGGACAAUACAAGCCCCCUCUGGUGGUCAAAAUAUCUUCUGUAGAUUUCUGCAGUAUUUCACUCUAAAGAUGUUUUGCUGAGGGGCCAAAAUGUCUGCUUUACAUUUUAAAGUAAUACGACCAUAGCUAGUUCGUUUUUCUAAGAAAACCACUGGAACGAGCCAAAACUGGAGGAGAAAAAUGCGUAGGAGAGGUGUUCCAGUGUGUGUCAGGUCCCAGGAAUGUGGUCAGUGACACUGACGGGUGCACACAGAGAGGAGCUGCAAAAUUCAUUGCGCCAACUCUCGCUGCCCAGCUGGCGCGGAAAAGUAGGGAUGCUGCUGGAAUGCCAGGGCUGGGUCUGCUGCCGGAGGCAGGACAGCGCCUUAGGGAGAAAUGGGAAACAAAAUGUCACUGCCGAGGAAAAGAUACCCGUUAAAUUUCACAGGCUGCCCUUUCUCUGAACACUGGAAACCACAGGCAUACUGGAUGUGGCGUGCUGAGGUACAGAAAGCAAGCGUGGGUUGAUUUAGUGCUUUCAAUGCCUCUUCUUAAUUUGGUAGAGUUGUGCUAAAAAUACCCAAACAUUUGGACUUACAAGAGGGUUAUGAUAUGCAAAAUUUAAAUUUAGAGGAAGACUUUUCUAAUCACUUUUCCUUUUCCUGUAACACAUUUCCAUGUGGAAAAGUGGUAUUUCCCUUCGCUGUUGUGUUGGUGUUGUCCUCUGUGGCAAGGUAUUUCAGCAGCAUCUGAUUUCCUAGAGGUUGAGACAGUUUCUGAAACUGCGGGGGAAAUCAAACAGUGUUUGAAAUCACUGUCUUUAAUCUUUAAAAGCAACUAUCAUCUGUGUCAUCAGGAAGAUAAUCCCAAUGGCUAUCCAAAAUCAGUCUCAACAGACACUAGACAGGGCUUCUCCUUCCCUUCUGAAUCUGGCUGAUUCUCACACAUUGCACAAGCUUCCACUGGCAUUUCCUAGCCUGUUCCCUAAGCCCGGGACUUGACUUUCUGUCUGCUGCCUCCCAGCAGCCACACAUACCAUCUGCCACUCAAAGGAUAAAAGAGUCCUGUCAACACAACAGCUGACCAAGAAAAGGAGUAAUUCACCAAUGUGUUUAUUCGCUGAAGAGCACUCGAUCAAUUCUAUCAUUGGUGACAAAGAGGAUUUAAUAGGAACAUACAAUAAUUCUGUUGUUGUUUUAAAACCCCACUAGCCACAAUAAUGGCUGCUGAAGCACUUAUCAUUGUCAUGUGAUUCCUAUUAGCCUAUUCUCAAGGAAACCAAGGAAGAGGGAUUGUGCUGUUUCACAAAAAUACAUUUAAUUGCUGUUGAAGAGUUUGUAAUUGAAAGUGUUGGCUUCCCAGAAUCCCCUGCUUUUCUUCAUCUCCUAGUAGCUCCUCUGCAUACCUCUGGACUGCAAAAACAUCACUCUGUGCCUUAAAUCCACUGUGACUCUUUAAAACUGCUAGCAGGGGUCAUCCUGGCCAAAGGCUUCUGGUUGUGGCUUUUUUCUGCAGUAAGUCUGAAGGCCCAGCACAAUUUGCUGGUAGGUUUGUACUGUCAGUAGCUGUGUGCUGCCAUCAGGAAAGAGACAAGCCGCCAGAGUAGCUGGACUGCUUGGAGUUUAGGGUAUGGGGGUUUUAUUCCAGUUUAAUUAAUUUCUAUGUCAUAAAUAGAUAUUUCCAAAGUAGAAAGUUAGAAAUGGGCAUGAAAAUUUUUAUUUGUUCUUUCCAAUGUAGGAUUAAGAAAAGAAUAUUUUUAAUGAGAUUUCUCACUGUUAUACAGCUACAGCCAUUUACCAUGUGAAUAAACUAUACUUGUUCACAGGGUUGUGAAAAGGAUAAUGGCUUUAAGAAAGACAAUUAAAAUGAGGUUAUGGCCACUUUGAACUUUUUUUCAAAAUUUCAAAUGCUAUAUUACAUUCAAAUAUAGGUUUUUUCACCUUAAGAAAUUAAGAUAUUAUUCAUAUUCAACCUUCAGAGUCCUCCUCCUUUAGUGAAUUGAAACAGUUGUUCUCAAAGUCUUAUUUAUGUAUCAGACUCUGAAGCCAGUCCUUAACCUCCUUUUGAUGAGCUAUAUAGUUUUAAUUAAUGGACUUUCUCAUAGAUGAUGUUUAUUUUCCAGGUAACUGAGUAGCAAUGCUCCAGCUGCAUGAAAUGGAAGUGUUAAGGUGCAACUCCUGCCAAGACUUGUGGCAUGGUUAUGGAAAAGCCGAGUGACCAACCCACCUUCUAUCAUGGCCAUGUUUCACCUUCCAUGCAGUUUAUGCAACCAGAAUAUUGGUGUAACUCCUUUUGGACUACUACUGAAGGUCAGGAGAAUAUCAUUCAUCUUCCACAAUGCCUGGACAUCAGCAGCUACGCUUCUGGAAAUAUCCUGGAAAAUGAAACUUUGAGAACAUUCCAAGCAGUUCAGAGGGAUUAUUAUAUUUGACAAGAUUCUCUUAACAAUACACAAACCUUUGUGCACAUACCACCAUAAUACCCAAUAAAAAUCAAAGGCCCCCCCCUUGGGACUGCUCUGCUUGCUGUGCACAGUAUUUCAGAUGGGCUGGCAAUAUGAGGAUUCAGCACUACAGUGAAAACCAGCUCAUGGUUUCUCACCCAUUAUUUUCAGUUUAAGCAUUCUUUGUUACUUUGAAUUUUAUUUUCUUACUUCUGAAGAAAGGUUUCUCAUGUACCCUCCUAACAUAACACCUAGCCCUGGGAGAUGCUAAUCACUGUACUGUACGUCCCUCUUUGGAUAAAAUUGGUUAUUCUCUUAGUUGCUGUUUCUGGUUUAGUAAGUCACAAAAGUAUAAACAUUUUCUUAUUUUUAUUCCUUGCUGAAAUUAUGUUGUGGAAACAAUGGUUGUAUGUAAUUGUUAAGACAGUUGUUAAGACUGUGCAAGACUCAUUGAUUACAAGAUCAGACAGUACGCUCAUUAGGUUUAGAGCAUUAGCUUUUCUCCAGUAUAAAAACAUUUAUUCAAAUUAGAAGUGGACUUUAACAGGCAGUGCUAGCCCUUGAAACCAGGUUCUGUGUCCUCCACCACACUGCUGCUGGUUUGUGUCUAAGCCGUGUAUGCUGGAGUGCUGCGAGGAAUGACGACAUGCCAAUGGCAUAAUUUCCUGAUGGAGACACGAUCAGGUGGUGUAAGAAAAGAAGAGCAUCUCCCUGACUGAAAAGCAUUAAGAAGAUUAGUGGCUGCUUUAGAAAUAAUCAAUGUAAGAAGGUAAGCAUGUUGUUUUGAUUAGAGAGCCAGACCUAGGAAAAAGAUCAAGAAGAGUAAGAGAGUGAAGAAAACUGCAGAAGGAAAGGAGAAGAAAUUUUGGGUUGUUACUGCAGAGGGCUUUUAUUCUCAUUAGUAUUAAGGGUUAGUAUUGUUUUCAGCAGUGAAGGGUAAUUUAGAUUAUGCUGAUCUUAUAUCACUGAGACAAGGAGCUGGACAGAUUCUGCAGAAGAGAAGUGUGUGACUCAUGGAAAGAGUAACUAGUGAAGAACUUGCUCAACUUGAACUCUUGCUUACAGGGAUUUUAUUUACCCCUGGGGGAGGGUGAAGUUUUCCAGCUUGGAAUAGCGCUAAACUACUUUACCAGUGAGAGAGAACUUGAAUCUCAUUUGGUGAAAAGAUAAGCUUUCAUGAUACAGGCUAACAUGUACUGAAGACUAUUGCACAGCCAGAGAGGAAGAAGAUGCUUUAAAGCAUGGGGGUUUUUAGCUGUGAAAACUAGCUAAUGAAAUAUCCAACACAUGUGAUGGUCACAUGAACUCUUUUUCAUUCAAUACACAAACCAAACAAUCAAACAUGUACUUAUAGAGGCACACUUAACAAAAAAAGGAGGAAUUCUCCCUGCUUUGAGAAUCCCUAGGAACUCUUUCAGCAUAAUGACACCCAUAUUCUCCUUCACAAAAUGCUCCUCAGAGAAUUCACUCAAAACUAUUCUAUGAUUUUUAUUUGUAGUGUGAAUAAUAAGCUAUCUGUCUGGUGACAUCAUUAUGGGCACUUAAAAAAAAUUAGCUGUGGAUAUAUUUGGAAAGGGUUAUAUUCAAGAAAAUUACUUGCUAAAGGGGUUUGUUUCAUUUAAAUACAGAUUCAGCCUCAGCUUAUCUGUACAAACAAGUUUUAAAAGAAAGGAGAAAACCCCCCACUUCCUUGAUGUGCUGAUCAGAGCUCUUAAUAGCAACCUAAAACAUGGAUAAGUUAAGAAAACUCCCCAGUUUUCUCCAGAAUGGGGCAGAACUUAAUCUUCAGGCACAGCCUGUCUGAAAAGUUGGAGAUAACAGAGACAAGAUGAGAUUUGGAUGCAGAGUCAGAACACUUUAAAUAGGUGAGUUAUAAAUAUGGAUCCUCUUUUUUAUUUUUCUUUACAAACCCUACAUCAAAUUGUGGGGAAAUAUUUAAACUGCUUUUGUUAAUAUUUUGUUCAGCAUAACUAUUUGUAAAAAGGCUUUCUUCUACCUAAUGGUAUUGUCAAGUAACUGAGAUCCUCUUUGCAAUAUAAACGAGUCCUAAAUUCUUUCAGAGGGAAACAGCCCACCUCAUUUUAAGAUUAAGAAAGCCUAAGAAAAGGUAGCAGGUGUGAAAAUUCAAUUUAUUAGCCCUAUCUUUGAGAAGAGCUAAAUCAAUUAGUAUAAAUCUAGUCUUUGAAAGAUACAUGAUAAUAGAUGACAAGAGAAGACUGAAGAACUGUACCAUUUUGGCUUGGAAAAGCUGCUUUAAAUGCUGAAACCCUGAAGAUGAAAAUGUCAGUACUUGAUUAGUUGAACUGUAAAGAAUCACAAGAGAUUCCUACAGACCCUGAAAAUGUUAUGUAUUGUAUCUUUCACAAAACUGGCAAACACUCAAACCCCUGGUGUUUUUGCCAGUCAGUGCUAAGGACUUGCUAAGAAGGCAUAUGGUCUUCGUUCAGGUUUUCUUGACUGGAGAAGCUUUCUCUCAAUUUCAGCUGUUGGCAGUCAUAAUUUCUGAUUUUCAUAAUUGCAGUUGCCUUUAAAUCAACUCUGGAAAUCAUCAAACUUAUAGUCCUGGAGCAGAAUCCUGAUCCUUGUCAGCCAUGGCUACAAGCCCACAGAAAAUGAGGAGCAACACAGGUUAGUUCAGCUUUGAAGGAGUAAAGGUACUACUUGAUUUUAGGUCAGAGAUGGACAAUAAAGUGUGCCUUGAACAGGAACAGAUGAGAAGCUUCUAUGCAGAGGUAGAUCAUUCCUUUUGUCUUCAGAUUGCUUUUUUUCAGUUCAAGAUUUUACAUACACUGAUAGGUCAAAACUGUGGUUCUUGAAAAUGCUACACUUGUUUAGGAAGAAAAGGAUAGGAAUCUUCUUCCUUUUCUUUUUUC